GUUCGACCGGACCUGAACCGACCCGAACCCAUUAUCAAUAUCAACGAGCAAGCCAAGCCCCACUACGCCAGCCACGAAUCCUCCACGACAAUUGGCCUCUCUCAGUCCGCUCAUAUAUUUUUCUGGUUUCGGCUAUCUCAACGACUGGUCUCUGCUAUUGAAAAUUUAGGGUUCAGAAGCUGGGGAUAUGGCUGUUAAUUGAAAAUAGCCAUGAAGUCCAUUUCCCUGGAUCUUCCUCUUUUUACGAGGUUUUGCAGUUCGUCUAGUGGCUCAAGGUCGAAAUGGGUCUUUUAUGGUGGCUUCUCUGGCUGCCCAAUGUUCUGUAGAAGAUGGAAUUGUUAUCCGAAGCCUCCCAGACUUUUUUCGAGUUGGGAGAAGGAUUGUUCGCUGAACUUGAAUAGGUGUAGUGCUAUGGGAACUCUAGAGGAGGAUUGUGGGAGUGUGUGGGGGGACUCUGAGUUUGUGGAAGUGAUUGGCAUUGGCAGCAGGAAGGAUGCGGUCAUCGAUUUCUGUUUGAAUUCGCCUUUGCAGUCCUCAUCUGUGAGGUUCUGGAAUAUUUUCAGGAGAGAUUCAUUGAAGGUGCAUUUACAACAAAGAUCCAUUGGAAGAGAUAUUACUCCAGUCCUUGUGGAAACCUUUCUAUCUGAGCAGCAACAUUUGAAGACUAUUGUCCUUGUGGCCAGUGCAGGAUAUGGCUCAGAUCACAUUACAGCAAUUGAUAUUCUUAGAACAACAAGAUCUGCAAAUGGAUUAGCUAUUGGUGUUAUUUUGAAGCCUUUUAGCUUUGAAGGAAAAAGGCGCCAAAAUGAGGUCAAGAAUUUGGUAGAGAGACUUCAGGAGCAUACAAAUUUUUGCAUCGUGAUUGACACUGACACACUACUCAAAAAGGAUUUAGUAACCCUAGAUGAGGCUCUGAAGACUGCAGAUAAUGGAGUUCUAUUGGCCAUAAAUGCUAUUUCUGUUCUCAUAUCUGGGAUGCACAAAAAGCUUAUUGAUGCACCACAUGAUAAUAUGAAAGAACUCAAGGGUCCGGAAAUUAUAAAAAUUUUAGAAAGCCACAAAGAAGCAAAAAUCGGAUUUGGGGCUGGCUACAACAUUGAAACUUCAAUUUUACAAGCUAUAUAUGACUGCCCUUUCCUUAGUGUGUGUUUAAAGGAUUUAAAUGGCACAGUUAUAUGCAUUCUUGCAAGUUCAGUCAUCAUCAACAACAGUGAUGUGCUUUCCUUUUUGCAUGCUUUCCGGAAAAUUACAGAAUGCACGAGAGAGAUCAUAAUAUCUAUAAUUCAUGAGCCCAAUCUUGAGCCCAACCUGAUAGUGACAACAGUUAUUAUUUUAGGUUCUACUGGGCAACCGGCAACUCAAAAAAGCAGCAUAUUGUCCCAACUGGCCCAGCAUUUCCCUUUUAUUUUUAAUCUUUUGGGAGGACACCAUCUGCAACCAAAUGGCACACAAGAAAGCCCUUCUAUUGAAGGCCCGGGUCUUCCUAAGUUGAUAAAUGCAGACGACUCUAGUGAAAUGCAAACUGGAAUUCCUAUGGAUGGCAUUGCUGAUGAUAUGGAUAUGUACUCUGAAGAACUCCAGAUGUUGUUGGGCAGAAAUGACCAUGAAAUCAAUGCUUCAAGGGAUAGUAAUGGAAGAUAUGAACAAAGUGAGCUUGGAUGCUCAGAGGCCACUAUCGAUUCCCUCAACUUUUAUGAUCAAAAUACUGAAGGGAUAUCUGCUUUCCAAAGAGAGCCGCUUAUUGGCUGGAAUUUGGGACCAGGAGAUCAGAUUGCACAGGAGUGGGCUAAAGAAAGGGCAGCUGAUUCUGGAGCUACUACAACGCUUGACAACCUAAGCAUCUUCCACCUUCCAGUGGGUGUGAGACCUUUAGAAGAGUUGAAUGACAGUCCAAAUAUCUCAAAUACCACACAACACCCAGAGACAAAAAUAGGGGAUGAGAUUAAGGCACAACCACUGGUUACUUCAAGGAUGCCUUGGGAUGAAUUAACUGGUGCAGGUUUUGAAGCAGUAAUGGAUCUUUACAAUUCUGCAUCUACAGUACUAAAGGGAAAAUAUGCAGAUAUUCCCAAAAAGCAAGGCAUGCUUUCUGUUCGUGCUGCAUCUAUGCUGGAAUCUGAACGAGAUUCACAAAAAAAAUGGAGCCCCAUUGUGCAAAUGCAGUACAGAGGAGGAAUCUACCAGGGGCGUUGCCAAGGGGGUCUUCCUGAAGGAAAGGGUCGUCUUUCACUUAGGGAUGGAAGCAUAUAUGAUGGCAUGUGGCGCUAUGGUAAGAGAUCAGGUCCAGGAACAUUCUACUUCUGUAACGGGGAUGUGUUCCAAGGAUCAUGGAGGGACGACGUUAUGCAUGGAAAGGGUUGGUUUUAUUUUCAGAGUGGAGAUAGGUGGUUUGCAAACUUUUGGAAGGGAAAGGCAAAUGGUGAAGGGCGCUUCUAUUCAAAGUUUGGUGAUGUCUUCUUCGGCCAUUUUAAAGAUGGAUGGAGACAUGGCCACUUCCUGUGUAUCAAUGUUAAUGGAGAAAGGUGCGUUGAGGUUUGGGAUGAAGGUGUCCUUGUAAGUCGCGAACAGCUGGACUCGGAUACUGGCACUGGAUGAAGAUGCUGCCCAUCAGACAGCGCCCUAGCAUUUUUAUCUUAUUCUCGGUCUUCUUCACCGACUCCCUACAGUAUCCCUGUCCAGCGCCAGUGAGCCACAAAUCAAAUCGGCAGUAGCAGUAAACAAGUAGACUGGAAAAGGAGAGGAAGCGAGACUCCAACUCAAGACCCCCAGGAAUAUGGGGUGUGGUUAUUUAGUGGAAGAGAGACAACAGCUACUCCCAGACGAAGCCAAAGCUUAUAUAGCUUGGCUCCAAACUAAAUUCAAAUUUAAAAGAAUGACUGCCACUACACUUUGCAUAGGCAUCUUUACUACAACAUGAUAUGGCACCGGUGAUGGUGGGGUGGGGUGGGGAGGUUGGGGGCUGUGUUGCAAGCCCCAAGUGGAUCCACCGUUUUACUGCCUGGAAUUCACAGGCAUAAAAUGAAUCCAUGCCCAGCUCAUAAAGCAUUCUCUAAAACUUCAGCAUCAAUCAAAAUUCAUUAUCAAUGGUGCCACAUUAGAUUUA